UACGUAGGGUGCAAGCGUUGUCCGGAAUUAUUGGGCGUAAAGAGCUCGUAGGCGGUUUGUCGCGUCUGCUGUGAAAACCUAAGGCUCAACCUUGGGCUUGCAGUGGGUACGGGCAGACUAGAGUGCGGUAGGGGUGACUGGAAUUCCUGGUGUAGCGGUGAAAUGCGCAGAUAUCAGGAGGAACACCGGUGGCGAAGGCGGUGGUCUGGGCCGGCACUGACGCUGAGGAGCGAAAGCGUGGGUAGCAAACAGG
rnacentral:rRNA from 1 species